rnacentral:rRNA from 1 species
AUUGAACGCUGGCGGCAGGCCUAACACAUGCAAGUCGAGCGAGCGGCGGACGGGUGAGUAAUGUAUGGGGCUCUGCCCGCUAGAGGGGGAUAACUACUGGAAACGGUGGCUAAUACCGCAUACUAUCGGCUGACCCCAUAUGGGAUUAGCUAGUAGGUGGGGUAAAGGCUCACCUAGGCGACGAUCUCUAGCUGGUCUGAGAGGAGGAUAAGCAACAAUGGGACGGGGACACGGCCCAGACUCAGACGGGAGGCAGCAGUGGGGAAUAGUGCACAAGGGGCGCAAGCCUGAGGCAGCCAUGCCGCGUGUAUGAAGAAGGCCGUAGGGUUGUAAAGUACUUUCAGCGGGGAGGCGUUACCCGCAGAAGAAGCACCGGCUAACUCCGUGCCAGCAGCCGCGGUAAUAC